GGUGGCUCAGUGGUAGAGUGUUUGCUUUGUAUACAUGAGGCCUGGGGUUCAAUUCCUCAGCACCA
rnacentral:tRNA from 1 species